rnacentral:rRNA from 1 species
AGAGUUUGAUCAUGGCUCAGAAUCAACGCUGGCGGCGUGCCUCAGACAUGCAAGUCGAACGCGAAAGUCCCCUUCGGGGGGCAAGUAGAGUGGCGCACGGGUGAGUAACACGUAGGUAAUCUACCUUUGGAUGGGGAAUAACAACCGGAAACGGUUGCUAAUACCGCAUAAUGCAGCGGCACCUAAUGGUGACAGUUGUUAAAGCGGGGGAUCGAAAGACCUCGCGUCUAAAGAGGAGCCUGCGGCGGAUUAGCUAGUUGGUAAGGUAACGGCUUACCAAGGCAACGAUCCGUAGCCGGCCUGAGAGGGCGGUCGGCCACACUGACACUGACAUACGGGUCAGACUCCUACGGGAGGCAGCAGUCGGGAAUUUUGGGCAAUGGGCGAAAGCCUGACCCAGCAACGCCGCGUGAAGGAUGAAGUCCCUCGGGAUGUAAACUUCGCAAGAACGGGAAGAAUAAGUAGGGGACAAUACCCCCUAUGAUGACGGUACCGUUUGUAAGCUCCGGCUAACUCCGUGCCAGCAGCCGCGGUAAUACGGGGGGAGCAAGCGUUGUUCGGAUUU